rnacentral:rRNA from 1 species
AUUGAACGCUAGCGGGAUGCUUUACACAUGCAAGUCGAACGAGUGGCGGACGGGUGAGUAAUAUAUCGGAACGUGCCCAGUAGCGGGGGAUAACUACUCGAAAGAGUGGCUAAUACUGCAUACUACUGGAGCGGCCGAUAUCGGAUUAGCUAGUUGGUGGGGUAAAGGCUCACCAAGGCAACGAUCCGUAGCUGGUUUGAGAGGACGACCAGCCAGGCGGGGACUGAGACACGGCCCAGAAUCCUACGGGAGGCAGCAGUGGGGAAUUUUAGACAGUGAGGGAAGCCGUGAUCCAGCCAUCCCGCGUGUAUGAGAAGGCCUUCGGGUUGUAAAAUACUUUUGGCAGAGAAGCGAUAUCUGCAGAAUAAGCACCGGCUAACUACGUGCCAGCAGCCGCGGUAAUUC